UAGGUCCCCGGAGCAGCCUCAGAUCCUAAGGAUUUCCCCAUCCAGGCAGAGAUUUAAGGGUAAUUCUCUUUCUCCUCAGGUUUUGAAUGGCCUUGAGACUUGAUUCAUCUGCACGCUCCAUGGAGGCUUGGUUUCAGAUGUACCAUCAUGCUGAUGUCUAUAGGCACAUCUCAGGAUCCUUUCAGACAGAGGAAUGGGAAGGUGAUGAUGUCCAGGCAAGGGGGAUGUGUUUUUCUCCAACUCUGAAGUCCCACUCAACAAGAG
rnacentral:lncRNA from 1 species